GCUUGCUUUCACUACAUACAUCUACUAGUGCCGCCUAUGUAAGAGUCAUUUUCUUCUAGAUUCUAUUUUUGUUUAAAGCGUAGAUCAAGGAGAAGGGGAAAGUUUGGAGCGGUCUGAACUACCCGCUAACUAUUCAAGUAUCACUAGGGAGUGGGGGAUAAGCGGAGACUAGUAGGUCACACGUAUGUGUGUGUGUGGUCGUUAGUCUUUAGGUUGCUUACUUAAUAAUGAAUGCUUUGGGGGGGGGGGGAUCUGUGUUGCUGACGUACUCCCCCCCCCAAAUAAAAAGGCGGUUAUUGUGUUCUAUUGUUAGUAGUCAAAUGAAAAAAAGCUUUCGAUUCUAGAUGCACACUUGGGCCCUGAUACAUCCUUCAGAUAUACUGCUCAAUGCACACUGUAAACUUGGGCGUAUGAACACAAUAUAGUUUUAUAUAGAACCGCACUACUUACAUUUAAACUGCUCUUUCCUUCCAAAAGUGUAAGUGCCUUUUGAUUGUUACAUAUUAAACAAAAAGAUUAACAAGUUUUUUAUUCACUUGUUUUGAAAACUUUUAAUAAGCUCUUAUCGGUAAGUAUUUUGAAAGGCGGGGCCUGGUGGUCGAGUGCUAAAGUGCUUUACUUUCAAACUAAGGUGCCUCGUAUUCGAAUCCCGGUGAAGAGUGGGAUUUUGAAUUUCUGAAUUCUUAGGACGCUCCUGAGUUAUUAAUAAUUAAUUAAUAAUAAUUAAUAAUCACCUUACUCUAAAGAGUACAUGACUUGAGUUGGGGAAAGUAAAGGUGCUUGGUCGUUGUGCUGGUCACAUGACACUCUUGUUAACUGUGGCCACAGAAACAGAUGAACGUAACAUCAACUGCCCCCCUGGAACGCAAGGUCUGAAAGUGGUACCUUACUUUCUUUUAUAACAGGCCUUGUUCAGUUAUAGUUCUUUUUUAAAAGUCUGUAACAAUUCUCUUAGUCAUUUUAACAUUUCCAAAGCUUAUUAUGAGCCCUCUCUCAAAAGUUUUGAAAGCUUAUGUCGUUUGACAAAAAGACCAUUCAUGUUAUACAGUUUAAAAUAUACCUUAGCCAUAGGUAUGUUAAGUCUAACUUUUGUUAGUGUUGAGUAAAAAAAUGCUUAGAAUUUUUUGUUUUAAGCAUGAAAAAAAAAUCUGGGAUUUAGGAGACGAACUACUUCGGAUCAACUGAUAGAUCUGGUCACUUGAAAUGAAUGGGAAAAAAAAACAGAAUCAGCCUGUAGGGUGGUGGGUGGCUCAUGGUAAACCUUCACCACCUUUUUCCCUAAGCUAAUGGGCACUUGCCAUCGUCUGGCUGGCGCCUGUCUGCGCGAACACCCAGCUAACUAAUAUUAGACAUUCGAGCUUGUACCAAGAUCUACUUCCAAAAAGGCCAAUGCCUGUCGUCAAAUUCUUGUUGCCUGUACAAACAGCUGCACUAUUUGGAGUUGGAUUGUUGGUUUAAUCUGACCGUUUAGUUCAAUGAGUGAUGAAUGUGAGGGUUUGCUGAGUGAUUCAAUAGCCGAGUGACUCAGUCGUUACAUGGUCGUUGAUUUCUAUUGCAGUAGAUUAUCAUAGAGUCAUGUAAUGUUGUAUCAGCAUUUUACAGUGGUUCUCAAAUAC
rnacentral:sRNA from 1 species